rnacentral:rRNA from 1 species
UACGGGGGGUGCAAGCGUUGUUCGGAAUUAUUGGGCGUAAAGGGCGCGUAGGUGGCCGGAUAAGUCUGACGUGAAAUCCCUCGGCCUAACCGGGGAACUGCGUUUGAUACUGUCCGGCUCGAGUCCGGGAGAGGGUAGUGGAAUUCCCAGUGUAGCGGUGAAAUGCGUAGAUAUUGGGAGGAACACCGGUGGCGAAGGCGGCUACCUGGACCGGUACUGACACUGAGGCGCGAAAGCUAGGGUAGCAAACAGG